GGGGCUGAUUCUGGAUUCGACGGGAUUUGCGAAACCCAAGGUGCAUGCCGAGGGGCGGUUGGCCUCGUAAAAAGCCGCAAAAAAAUAGUCGCAAACGACGAAACCUACGCUUUAGCAGCUUAAUAACCUGCUUAGAGCCCUCUCUCCCUAGCCUCCGCUCUUAGGACGGGGAUCAAGAGAGGUCAAACCCAAAAGAGAUCGCGCGGAUGCCCUGCCUGAGGUUGAAGCGUUAAAACGAAUCAGGCUAGUCUGGUAGUGGCGUGUCCGUCCGCAGGUGCCAGGCGAAUGUAAAGACUGACUAAGCAUGUAGUACCGAGGAUGUAGGAAUUUCGGACGCGGGUUCAACUCCCGCCAGCUCCACCA
rnacentral:tmRNA from 1 species